GCCUGGGUGGCUGAGGUUAAGCGUCCGACUUCGGCUCAGGUCAUGAUCUCACGGUUCGUGGGUUCGAGCCCCACGUCGGGCU
rnacentral:tRNA from 1 species